UGCUUUCGAUAGGCGUCGACCGGCGCACGGGUGAGUAACGCGUAUCCAACCUGCCCAUAACUAAGGGAUAAUCCGUAGAAAUGCGGUCUAAUACCUUAUGUGAUCCGAGGAAGACAUCUGAUUUGGAUUAAAGAUUUAUCGGUUAUGGAUGGGGAUGCGUCUGAUUAGAUUGUUGGCGGGGCAACGGCCCACCAAGUCUGCGAUCAGUAGGGGUUCUGAGAGGAAGGUCCCCCACAUUGGAACUGAGACACGGUCCAAACUCCUACGGGAGGCAGCAGUGAGGAAUAUUGGUCAAUAGGCGGGAGCCUGAACCAGCCAAGUAGCGUGCAGGAUGACGGCCCUGUGGGUUGUAAACUGCUUUUGUAUGGGGAUAAAUUGCUCCACGAGUGGAGUAUUGCAGGUACCAUACGAAUAAGGACCGGCUAAUUCCGUGCCAGCAGCCGCGGUAAUACGGAAGGUCCGGGCGUUAUCCGGAUUUAUUGGGUUUAAAGGGAGCGUAGGCCGUGGAUUAAGUGUGUUGUGAAAUGUAGGCGCUCAACGUCUGACUUGCAGCGCAUACUGGUCCACUAGAGUGCGCGCAACGCGGGCGGAAUUUGUCGUGUAGCGGUGAAAUGCUUAGAUAUGACGAAGAACCCCGAUUGCGAAGGCAGCUCGCGGGAGCGCAACUGACGCUGAAGCUCGAAAGUGCGGGUAUCGAACAGGAUUAGAUACCCUGGUAGUCCGCACGGUAAACGAUGGAUGCCCGCUUUUCGGUCAUUAGACCGUGAGGCCAAGUGAAAACAUUAAGCAUCCCACCUGGG
rnacentral:rRNA from 1 species